GGGAGGCCUGCUGGCCACCAGUUGCCCAUCCCUGAUACAAAUCAUCAUGAUAUCAUUCUGCCAGCUCCCUGCUUGGAUAACGUUACCGCUGUGCUGUUGUGAUUCUCCGGAUAAUGGGUCUCCCAUUCCUAACAGAGCUUUCUUGGAUUUGAAAGAUUCAGGCUCAAAUUAAGAACCGACAUCUCUAGGGAAAAGGAUGCCAUUUGGGACGCAGACAGAGUCUCCGCCCAGACAGCAUAACCAGAGUUGUCUCUGUUUUAACCACUCAGAGCAGUCACAGACACUACUUUCCCUCCAUAGACUUUCUCUCAAGAAGAAUUCUCUCCGGGCUUUUGGUUCACCGUCUUUUUUUAUUUACAGUCUUGGCUCUGUGCCAAACUUAUCUUCAAAGCACAGCAUCCUACGUGACAAACUCCACAUACCAGUCCACCGCUUUCUACUACUGGCUGAGGUCGUGAAAACAACAACAUUUUAACGUGUCAUUGUCAUCUAUCGCAGACGUCAUGGUAUUAUGACACAGCAAUAGUAUAUUGUCUCCUUUUGGAUUUUUUUUUAACAAGC
ensembl:lncRNA